rnacentral:lncRNA from 1 species
UCGGCCUCCCUGCCGAAGCGGCGGCCUUUCAGGCCCUAGAUCCGGCCCGGCCUCAAGAGGCGACCUCCGUUCGGGCCCAUCCAAGCCGGGCCGCAUCCAGCCCGCCGCCUCCCUCUCCCUCUGCCCGGCGUCCACGACCCGCAGCGUCCGCCCGGGGUGAGCGGGGCGCCGCGUCUCACCGAAUUUAAGGCGAAGAGGAAAGAGCCAGAAAUCCCCGAUGUACCGGCAACUGCGGCGGUGUCUCCUCUGCGACCGGAACUAACGCCAGGAGGAGGGAGAGGUGCCACCCCCGCCCGGACCGCUCUCCUAUCGCGAGAUUUCUUCCCCUUGCCCCGCCCUGAUCGUGGACAGGCGCUUCCGCCUUUUCUAUUGCGCGCGGAUUAGGGAGCAUUACAUCAAGUCUUUGGGUUUAAAACAUUUUUUGGAUGAGAGGAGGCUGGAUGUUCCUGGCUCCUGGGGCAUGGGACUGUGUCAUUCCCUUCAAUUGACAACUGUGAAAAGAAGGCCAUUCGAACCCAUUCUGGCGUUGCUGGGCUCUUCACCGUGAAGUCCUCAGCUAUGUCUCUUUCUCUUCGCACUGCGGCCACAGCGUCAGCAAUGGCAAAGAACACAGAUGACCCCAGGAACAUCCCAGACUCCCCGAGGCCCUGUAAGAAGGCACAUUGGUGUAAGAAACUUCCAUACUACACUACAAGUUUCUAGAGGGUAGGGGCCAGGUCUCGUUCACCAUUGUGUCCCCAACCCCUGCACAGUGUUUUGUACACAAAAUCUUCUCAAUAAAUGUUUGUUGGCUGACUU